UACGUAGGGGGCAAGCGUUGUCCGGAUUUAUUGGGCGUAAAGAGCGUGUAGGCGGCCAGGUAGGUCUGCUGUGAAAACUCGAAGCUUAACCUCGAGAUGUCGGCGGAAACCAUCUGGCUAGAGUCCGGAAGAGGAGAGUGGAAUUCCUGGUGUAGCGGUGAAAUGCGCAGAUAUCAGGAAGAACACCAGUGGCGAAGGCGGCUCUCUGGGACGGUACUGACGCUGAGACGCGAAAGCGUGGGGAGCGAACAGG
rnacentral:rRNA from 1 species